rnacentral:rRNA from 1 species
GACGAACGCUGGCGGCGUGCUUAACACAUGCAAGUCGAACGGAAAGGCCCUGCUUUUGUUGGGUGCUCGAGUGGCGAACGGGUGAGUAACACGUGAGUAACCUGCCCUUGACUUUGGGAUAACUUCAGGAAACUGGGGCUAAUACCGGAUAUGAUCUCCUGCUGCAUGGUGGGGGUUGGAAAGUUUCGGCGGUUGGGGAUGGACUCGCGGCUUAUCAGCUUGUUGGUGGGGUAGUGGCUUACCAAGGCUUUGACGGGUAGCCGGCCUGAGAGGGUUACCGGCCACAUUGGGACUAAGGUACGGCCCAGACUCCUACGGGAGGCAGCAGGGGGGAAUAUUGCACAAUGGGCGGAAGCCUGAUGCAGCAACGCCGCGUGCGGGAUGACGGCCUUCGGGUUGUAAACCGCUUUCGCCGUUGACGAAGCGUGAGUGACGGUAAUGGGUAAAGAAGCACCGGCUAACUACGUG